AGCGAACGCUGGCGGCAGGCUUAACACAUGCAAGUCGAACGGGCAUCUUCGGAUGUCAGUGGCAGACGGGUGAGGAACACGUGGGAACAUGCCCUUCGGUUCGGAAUAACUCAGGGAAACUUGAGCUAAUACCGGAUGAUGUCUUCGGACCAAAGAUUUAUCGGCAAAGGAUGAGCCCGCGUAGGAUUAGGUAGUUGGUGGGGUAAAGGCCUACCAAGCCGACGAUCCUUAGCUGGUCUGAGAGGAUGAUCAGCCACACUGGGACUGAGACACGGUCCAGACUCCUACGGGAGGCAGCAGUGGGGAAUUUUGGACAAUGGGCACAAGCCUGAUCCAGCAAUGCCGCGUGCAGGAAGAAGGCCUUCGGGUUGUAAACUGCUUUUGUACGGAACGAAAAGGACUCUGGUUAAUACCUGGGGCUCAUGACGGUACCGUAAGAAUAAGCACCGGCUAACUACGUG
rnacentral:rRNA from 1 species